AGAAGUGCUCCUUUGAGGUCUGGUCUCAUCUGAAUGACAAAUGGAUGUGUACCAUCUGUCGGGAAGCUGGGGGUGAUGAAGGAGACAUGGAGCGUUCCACAAAAUGAUGUGAUGGUUUUUUAAAACUUCUGAUAUCUACAUGGGACCUAAGAUUAUACAUUUUACAGAUGAAAAAACUUGAAAACAAGCAUAUGGGAUGAAUGGAACAUACGGUUCAUAUCACCUUGGAACAUCAAAUGGACUGUGAAAUAAUCUACCUACCGAAUGAUGGAGCCAUUGGUCAUCUGGACCAACCCAAUUUGUCAAAGUUAAAAAAUGUGACAUGUAAAGGGAUAGAGUGACUUAUCCAGGAAAGUUUCACUAGAAUGACAGAGUUCUCUAUUCCCGGUGUGCUGGGCCAUAAUUUGAUGCCCAAUAAUUUGUAAAUCCUAGUAAAAGUAAUCUAAAGAUCUUU